CAAGCUCAGUUAUCUUUACAGAACAAUCCUGGACUCCAGGUGACCUAAUUCAGGCCAAAGAUCGUGCUCAUAGAAUUGGUCAGGGAUGGUGCAAUUCAAACUGGAUAAUUUGGGGCAGAUGAGAUGCCCAUGAGAACACCUUAGCUGUGUCAAAUAAUCAGCCAUUGAGUAUCCCUGCAAAGCGUACUACUAUUGAGCAUAGGCCUUCAAAGCAGAGAACUCUUGACCAGUUUGUCAAAAGAUGUGAUAACGUGGAUAGGUCGGAAGUCGGAACAUCAUCCUGACCGGAAACGGCCCUCUCGGUCAUGACUUGUGAGAUAUGCAAAAUGAAUUUCCAUUUUCACAGAUACAUGGCCAGUGGCAAGUGAAUAGGAACUUAAAUGUUGACUACAUGCAGAAGUUUCCCUGUAGUAUUAACCAGAUGUGCUUACAUGGGGAAUUCACCUGUGAUGACACAAAUGCCGUUUUGAAGCUGAAAUCCAUUGUACAACAAAUAAUAGAUUGAGUAGAACUGGCUACACUAAACUAUGUUACUUGUACUGGAGAUAAUGGUUUGAAUAUGUGAAAUAUGUAUUGGAAGAAAAUGUUGAUAAAGUCACCCAUUAGAUUUUAGGUUUCCACUUCUUGUUCUUAAAUUUUUGCUCCCCUAUGUUUUGUUUUAGUUUGGGGCUCUGUACAGAGUAUGACAUUAUCAUAUAUGAAUGAGAGUUGUAAAUUUCUUUACUCCAUAUGCAUGUAUCAUUA